UACGUAGGGGGCUAGCGUUGUCCGGAAUCAUUGGGCGUAAAGAGCGUGUAGGCGGUCCGGUAAGUCCGCUGUGAAAGUCGGGGGCUCAACCCUCGAAUGCCGGUGGAUACUGUCGGGCUAGAGUGCGGAAGAGGCGAGUGGAAUUCCUGGUGUAGCGGUGAAAUGCGCAGAUAUCAGGAGGAACACCUAGUGCGAAGGCAGCUCGCUGGGACGUAACUGACGCUGAGACGCGAAAGCGUGGGGAGCAAACAGG
rnacentral:rRNA from 1 species